AUACGGAGGAUCCAAGCGUUAUCCGGAAUCAUUGGGUUUAAAGGGUCCGUAGGCGGGUUUGUAAGUCAGUGGUGAAAGUUUUCGGCUCAACCGGAAAAUUGCCAUUGAUACUGCAAGUCUUGAAUCAUUAUGAAGUGGUUAGAAUGUGUAGUGUGGCGGUGAAAUGCAUAGAUAUUACACAGAAUACCGAUUGCGAAGGCAGAUCACUAAUAAUGUAUUGACGCUAAGGGACGAAAGCGUGGGUAGCGAACAGGAUUAGAAACCCUGGUAGUCC
rnacentral:rRNA from 1 species